CGCCACUUCCAUCACUACGGAUCGUCCGGCACGUACCUGCCGGUGAGGAGAAACAA
rfam:Microbacterium sp. SA39 RS85_contig000027, whole genome shotgun sequence.